AAGGAUCAUUACUGAGUGAGGGUUUCGGCCCGACCUCCAACCCCUAUGUAUUCCGACUCUGUUGCCUCGGGGGCGACCCUGCCUUCGGGCGUUGGGGCCCCCGGUGGACACCAUAACUCUGCAUCUUUGCAUCUGAGUAACAUUUUGAAUUAAAUCAAAACUAUCAACAACGGAUCUCUUGGUUCUGGCAUCGAUGAAGAACGCAGCGAAAUGCGAUAAGUAAUGUGAAUUGCAGAAUUCAGUGAAUCAUCGAAUCUUUGAACGCACAUUGCGCUCCCUGGUAUUCCGGGGAGCAUGCCUGUUCGAGCGUCAUUAUCAACCAUCAAGCACUGCUUGGCAUUGGAUGCCGUCCCCCGUGGACGCGUCUUAAACCCUUUGGCGGCGGUUACAUACCUCGAGCGUAGUAGAAAUUCUUAGCUUUCUAGGUUGUGGCUGCUUUGCCUCGAGAACAUCUCACCUCAAGGUUGACCUCGGAUCAGGUAGGGAUACCCGCUGAACUUAA
rnacentral:rRNA from 1 species